rnacentral:lncRNA from 1 species
AUUUAUUGUAACUAUUUGCAAGAAUAUGACACACCUUUGGUUGCAGUUUCAUGCUAAGAAAUCCAGUAAGCAACAUGGUGUCUUCCAAUCAGCAAAGUGCUUCCACUUAGUUUAAAAUUACAGAUCAAAGUUCCAGCUUGAAAGAAGGAUAUGUCUAUUAGAUAAGCUUCUCAUAUAAUGAAACAGCAUGUCUUUGAAUAAAUGAAUUUCUAAGUGUCAGUGGCAUCUAUCAGUCAGACAGGUUGGUUGGUUAAAUAUUCAUAGGAACUUUGCAGUAAUCCUUAAACUCCUUAAGCCUUUUGAAUUUUCAGUAGGUCAGCUACUCCAUUCAGAUAUGCUGGCAGCACUAACUGACUUCUUCCUAGAAGGGGCUACAGGAAAUGGUAAUAAAUCAUGCCACUGCAGCCUGUUCAAACUUGUCAGAAGAGCUGUUUGACAUUGCAGAUCCAACUUCCUCCUUCUGGCUCCUCGGACCAGACUAUUGAUCAUUCUGCAUUCCGGAAAUUAGAAACAAACAUCUUCCAGGAGCUGCCUUUAGGGAUGGAUGAAUGCCAGUAUGUCUCCAUAUAACCUUCUGUAGGAGUAGUCAAACACUGUAUUUGCUGUCAGAUGCCCUCCUAGUUGUAUUUAUUCAUGAUACAAUGUGGCUGAAGUAAACACAAAAAAUUUCAGUCAAGCACCAUGCAUCCUUUAAGUCUCGAAGGUGUGUUUCUCACAG